AAUGGAACAUUUAAGCAUAUGCACAAAUUACAUAAACAUUUUUAUACCAUCAACAAUUUUUAUUUGAUUCUCUAUAUUUUUUAAUAAAGCAAUGUACGUUUUGAAUAGGUAUAUGCUAACUUACAAAGAUAUAAGGUGUCUGUAAGUUGAAAUGAUUGGUAUAAAAUUUAUAAAUUGGUCAACACCGAAUUUGAAUAAGUAAUUGAAGUAAUUGAACAUAGACAUUAAAACUUUUGAAUAACAUAUAAGCUAGGUACAAAGCAUAAACAUUGUUAUACUAUCAUCAGUAUUUGUAGUCGAGCCCUCUCCUUUUUUUCCCCUUUUUCCUUGGUGAUGAUCGUACUGCAAAAUAAUCUUGAAAAUAGAUUAAUUUGUUAUAGUAAAUUUUGUAUAUAAUUCAAACAAUCAAUAUUGUAUUUGUUUCGUACCUUGUAAACACUUUUGCUUUCCUUUCUCCAACAUCAUCUAUUUCACCAACAAUUGUAGUUAGUUUUAUGACAUAGAACAUACAUGAUUAUGAAUAUUAUAAGGAUUAAAAUAUCUCAGAGAUUAACAACCCUAGUUAAAUUGGCCGACACCGAAAUUGAAUAAGUAGAUGAAAGUAAUUGAACAUAAGAGUUAAAAAUUCGAAUAACAUAUAAGUUAGGUACAAACAUAAAUAUUGUUACACCAUAAAAUGGUCAACAUCGAAAUUGAAUAAGUACAUAAAAGUAUUUGAACACAAGAACUAAAAUUUUGAACAACAUUUAAGCAAUGUACAAACAUAAACAUUUUUAUACCAUCAAUAGUAUUUAUUUGAUUCUCUAUAUAUAUAUAUAUGUUUGAAUAAAGCAGUUCACGUUUUGAACAUGUAUCUGCUAAUUGAAAAAGAUAUAAGGUGUCUGGCAUGUCAAAUGAUUAGUGAAACAUAAUAUUUUAUUUGCGUGCACUUGGGUGGGUGGCGUUCUGGGUUAGGAAUCUUGUACUUUAACAUGUAAAUGAACCACAAAAAAGCAGAUCGACUCAUUUAUAGUUAGAAUAAUACUAUUCCAUGCUUGUUUCGAUGUUUUUUUUGGGUCGAACAUUAUAAAAUUAGGCUAGAUCUUUUCUGGGAAACCGUAAAAUCCUAAAAAAUUACAGAUAUGUUAAAAUGGUUCGAUAAAUGAUGUUUUAGUGAUUUUUAAUUUCGAAUAAACCAUGAGAUUGUGAAAUUAAAGUGGCUCAGACUUACCUUCUACACUAGCUGAUCAUCGUUCUUCAACCUUCUCAGAAAAUGUCGUCGUUCUUCAGCCUUCUUCGACAAUCUGGAGAAUUUUUCGAUUCGAACCCCCAAAGCCCUAAUUUCCACCGAUUUUUUCGAACAGAAAGUGUAUCGGAACCCCAAAAUCUAGAUUUUCUUCAACCUUCUUGUAAAAACUGCAGAAUAUUGGUUUGUUUUGAAUUCCUAAACCCUAAUCGCUUCGAUUUUUUCCGAAUAGGAAGUGGAUGAGAGAUUUUCGGAAGCCAUCGAAUCUUCCAUAUUUAACUUCUUGGUAAAUUCCCAUUUACCCCUUCCAGAAUUUUAAAAGAUUUAUUUUAAAUGUUAUUUGAUUUAAUUAAUAGUUUUCUGGAUAAAAGGUAUCCGUUCGAUCCAC
rnacentral:lncRNA from 1 species